CGAGAAUUCCCUUGUUUUGAGGCCUACAACGGUGACAAUUGCUUGGCAAGGAGCCUAAAGAGCUAAGAUUUCAUUAGGGACUCAAGAAGAGUUCAACAAAGUAAGUUGCCCCGCUACGGCGGACCUAUUUCCUUAAACCCUAUUCUCUGUUACAGGUGUCGAAGAUAGAACAUUGAAAAUAUAAGUAUUUUGUUUUAUAUAAAAUAUGGAUUAUUGCAAAAAAAUCCAAUUUAAUAAAAACUUUAUGAAUUAAAUAAUAAUAAAGAUUAAAAGAUUGUUAGUUAAUUUAUAUCAGGAAUUAUUAUGUUUCGUUCUUGUCUUUGAUAUUUCUCUAUAUUAUUGAGUUCAUGAUCGUUCAGCAUUUCGCAUCGUAUUGUUGAAACAUGUCGUAAACAGUGGUUUUGGACAUUAUUAAUAACCAUCUCGAAAUUCUAAAUUAUCAUCUCGCUUUAUUUUUCUAUACAAUUUACGGUUUACAAAGUUUCGGUAAACGUAGGAGAGAAUGUUUCGAUAAAUAUUUUGAAACAAGAUGGAUGCGACUUUGAGACUUAAAUACACCAACAAUUAACUUUACAAUACUAAUAAGGCAAAUGGCACAAAACACUACAAAACAAAAUAGUAUAAGUAACUUAACAACACCUAUUUUCCUUACAUUUCACAGAUUUGGCCUAACAUUUUUUUUACUUUACUUAUUUGGCAAUAAGUUACUAACAUAUCCUCUAAGUCCUAAAUCUUACUAACAUUAUAUAUAUUAGUAAAUAGGUAGUAAUUACUUUAAUUAGGUUAGUUAGCUGAUAGUUAAAAUAAAUAGUUAUAGUUAGCGAUAAUCUUAAAUUAACUCUUUUUGCCUAAUAAAAAUUAAGAAAAUGAAAGGUGAAACAGAUCUAAACCGACAUUUUUAUGUCGGACCAAAAAGUGAACUGAAGUGGGCAGGUGAUGACAAGUUUGCAACCUCUGUAACAAAUGUUCUAUGUGUAACAAUAAAAGAAAAUAACACAUAGUUAGAUUUAGAGAAAAUAAUAUGAGCGAACUUUCAACGGUGCUUUUUUUUAAAAAGUUUAUAAAAACUUUCCAUAAAAGCACGAAAUAGACACAAACAUUGUGCUGCAUCACUUCCCUUAUAAAGUUCACUAUUCACUAUUAAAAUAUAUAUUUGUAUUUGAAAGUAUUAUUUUUGUGUAUUCGAUAUAUAUUUUAGUAUUCCUUCGACAUAUCUUUAUAUACAUAUAUGCAAUCAGAACUCCUCUUAAUGUCAUAUAAAAUAUUAUCUGCAUAUCUACUUUAUUUCAAUACAUUUACAUAUAAUUAUAAACUCGGCUCAAGGUUCUCUAUCUUGUGACAUUUAGGAAACGUCCGCGACCAGCGCCUCUACGCCCAAUAGUUGCUAUGCCUGUUUACGUCACGACACACUCAUUAUAUCAUUAUCAUUAUCGUUCAUUAUAUUACAUUACAUCUGACAAUGUUCUCUGCCGUCAUCUCGUCUCGCCGCCUAACCCCAGCCUCGCCUCUCCUUUCCCCGCUUCAUACAAAUAUGCACAUUAUGUUACGUCGUAUCAUUUUUGUUUGUAGUUCUAUACAAAAUGGUUGCUCAAAAGAUCACCUGUCCGAGUCGGAGCGACGAUAUCGGAAUCAAUCAGUUCAACUCAAACACCAAAAGAUAUGGUUUUUUCGCAAACGAGUCACAAGACUCAAAGUAUUUUGAAAGUGGUAGAAAUAGAUCUUUUAAAGGCAGAAAAGAGUCAACAGGUGAACGGCACGACCGGAGUGGUUACAGACAGACGCACAGUCGCGACGCCGUCGCCUGCCGCCGCAGCCAGCUAUUCCGAGGUAUUUCUGAAAACGGAGCCCGAAUUCCCGAGCACAAUGACUCACGAAUCGGACUACGAGUUCUUCGAAGAUUUGGCUCAGUGGUGCGCCGCUCCCGCCGCGGCCGCAUCGGCACAGUCCAUUGACAUCCCGAAUUAUACUGAAGACAGGGCACACAACACUGACACACUGCACACACCGUUCUCGCCGCAAGGCUGGGACGUUUUCGACGUUAACUCUUCGGCCCAGGCAAGCUUCUACAAGCCCGUCGCCGACCCGCUCUCCCCGAGCGCGGACGGCGCAGUAGACUUUUACACUAAAUACCCAUCGCUCGACCACGAGAACAAGAUUCCCUUCUCCGAGCAGUUCCUAGACAUCAGCAGCUUGCCUGUGGUGAUAGAAGAUUUAGCGUCGAGAGGAGCCGCCGGUAUGGCGUCGUGGGAAGUCCCGGCGCCGACCGGCUGGCACGCACACGACACAGAACACAACAAAAACAACACCGACAUACACAACACUAUGCCCUUUAUCGAAGAGGACUCCCUGGAUAUGAAAAUGGUAUCGGUUAUACCGCGGGAGGUGGAGAGUAAUAACGUAGUCAUAUCUGAGUAUAUCUUAAACGACCACCGGGACCUGGUCGACGGCGCCGGGCCGGGGCGCGCCCGCGGCCUCUCCGUGGACGUGCCUGGCGCGACGACGACAUCAUCAGCACGCCGGAGGUGCUCAACUACGUCGAGCAGCUGGAGACGGAGAAAUGUACACUUCCCAGCCCGACGCCUGUAGCACCCGACUGGCCGACGCUGGACGCGUCCACGGACAGCUUUACUAAGGCGGAAGCCUCGCCGCCGAUGGACUAUGAGCCCAUCACACCCAAGUCUGAAUCUCACAACGACGUCGAAUCAGAUAACGAUGACAGCAAAUCUUACUCCAGUAAGAAACGUCGCGACAGUGAAGAUUCAGACACGACGUACGUGCCGUACACGGAGCACUCGCCGCGCCGCUACAGGAAGAGGAAGCCCAGCAUUCCCAUCAAGGACAUGAUCCGAGCGCUGGAGGGCUCGCAGCAGCUCAAGCCCACUCGCCGCGGCCGCCCUCCCAAACGCAGGGAGAGCGCCGUCUCCUCCGUGUGCAGCGUGGACGAGACCUCCUCCUCCGCCUCCACACACGAACUGCGCUACAGGGAGCUUAGAGACAAAAACAAUGAAGCAUCCAAGAGAUCGAGAAUGAAUAGGAAGUUAAAGGAAUUACAAAUGGAACAGCUGGCGAUAGAAUUGGAGGAGAAGAAUAAGAAAUUAAGGGUCAGAGCUGAGAUCCUGGAAGAGAUGACGAAGAAGAUCCGCGCCGACUUCAUGGCGGCGGUGUCGCAGAACCGGCUGAACAGUUAAAGCUGACGGACGUCUCGGCCUGAUGAGAUUAAAUGCAAUUUAUUUGUAUAAAUCUAUAUUCGUAGAUGAUGCCUGGCGCGUUUCGGAUGCUUGAAUAUUUAGCGGUAAUUCCGUGAUUUCUGUGAAUAUGGGUUGUACAUUCACAAUCUACGUAUCUUUUUGUUUGCUUCAUUGCUUAACAUAAUAACCUUUACCCGGAUGUGACAAAAAGACGAGUCUUCAGAAAAGAAGAACGUCUUCACGUAUGACACGGCGAUGUCUUUUACAUUAUUGUAGUCUACCAUAAGACUAGAACAAGAAUAUCUAUUUCUUAAGAUUUUAAUUAUGUAAGAUUGAAUUUGAAAAAUACAAAAAAAAAUAUCAACAUUUAAAAUAUUAUAUUUUUAACACUUAAAUGUUGAUCAUUGUUUUAUGAAUUUGUUAGUGUUCCGAGACUACCUCGAAUUUAAUAUUAAGAACACAUUUGAUGUAAAAAUCAAAUUUACUUACAUACAUACAACUAAAAUGAUUUUUACUUAAUAUUUUUAAUUAUAUGCAUUGGUUAUUUUUUUUCUAAAUAAUGCAUGAUAUUUGAUUGGUAUAGCUUUUUAUCUUUAUGUUGUAUUCAAAAUAAAUGAUUUGAAAUUGUUGA